GGAAGUAAAAGUCGUAACAAGGUCUCCGUAGGUGAACCUGCGGAAGGAUCAUUACAGAGAAUAUCGCGCCUCACGGGUGACUCUCCAACCCUAUGUUAUAUAACCUUUGUUGCUUUGGCGAGCCCGCCUCGGCCGCUGGCUUCGGCUAGCGAGUGCUCGCCAGAGGACCCCAAACUCUGAAUAUUAGUGUCGUCUGAGUACUAUAUAAUAGUUAAAACUUUCAACAACGGAUCUCUUGGUUCUGGCAUCGAUGAAGAACGCAGCGAAAUGCGAUAAGUAAUGUGAAUUGCAGAAUUCAGUGAAUCAUCGAAUCUUUGAACGCACAUUGCGCCCUGUGGUAUUCCGCAGGGCAUGCCUGUUCGAGCGUCAGUACAACACUCAAGCUCUGCUUGGUAUUGGGCCCUGCCGUCGCCGGCAGCCUUAAAAUUAGUGGCGGCGCAUCUGGCUCUAAGCGUAGUAAUACUCCUCGCUACAGAGUCCGUUGGAUGCUUGCCAGCAACCCCCAACUUUCUAAGGUUGACCUCGGAUCAGGUAGGAAUACCCGCUGAACUUAAGCAUAUCAAUAAGCGGAGGA
rnacentral:rRNA from 1 species